AUUGAACGCUGGCGGCAGGCCUAACACAUGCAAGUCGAACGAGUGGCGGACGGGUGAGUAAUGUCUGGGAAACUGCCCGCUGGAGGGGGAUAACUACUGGAAACGGUAGCUAAUACCGCAUACCAUCGGAUGUGCCCAGAUGGGAUUAGCUAGUAGGUGGGGUAACGGCUCACCUAGGCGACGAUCCCUAGCUGGUCUGAGAGGAUGACCAGCCAAACUGGAACUGAGACACGUUCCAGACUCCUAUGGGAGGCAGCAUGGGGGAAUAUUGCACAUUGGGCUCAAGCCUGAGGGAGCCAUGCCGCGUGUAUGAAGAAGGCCUUCGGGUUGGAAAGUACUGUCAGCGUGGAGGCGGUACUCGCAGAAGAAGCACCGGCUAACGCCGUGCCAGCAGCCGCGGUAAUAC
rnacentral:rRNA from 1 species